CAUUAGAUUUCUCUGAAUCUUCUCAUCAAGAAUGUCCAGGCGGGUUGAACCCUACUGCUGUGCUUUGCUGUGCUGUGCGCAAGCGGUGACAUCUCGGUGAGAAGCUCCAGAGAAAUCAAAUG